UUUCAUCGUCAACUUGCUCGACUGUCAUCGAGGGUUGACGAAGAUGCGGCUGACACGCUCUGUCGAUUUCGUCGUCUUCUUGGAGUGAAAUAAGCCGGCUAACGAGAAGUUGUAGAAUCAUGUGGCCAAUGCGGUUGGAGAUGACUCGUGAUGAGUGCAGAAAGUGUUUGCGAUACCUCGAAUUAGAUGCUUAUGGAAGUAUAGUUUCUGUUCUACGUGCCCAAGGCCCUUUUACCAGUGACAAACAGAAGUUGUUACAGGAAAUUGCUAAAAUGUUAAAUAUUUCCAAUGAGAGGCAUCGUGCUGAAGUACGAAGAGCUGUGAAUGAUGAAAAGCUAGCAACAAUUGCUGAACAACUUAAUGGUCCAAAUACUGGUACAGAUUGGACUAUUGAAGGUCGCCGGACUAUUCCUCUGUUGCCAAGAUUAAAAGGACGGUCGGUAUUCACAACACUAGCAAAUAGUUUAUCUCUUGCUACUGCAGUCGCAAAUGCAAAAAGUCCUGAUAGACAUGUUACUUCUGGACAGUUCGAAAACCUCACAGCUAUUGAAAUUGAAUCUCAACCUGAAGUAAAAACAGAGGAAAACUUAUCUGUUACUCUGAUAAAAAAAUCUGAUACAAAAUUAUGUAACCUUGAAAACGAACUCGAGAACAGCAAAACUUUACAGGAAAAUUCAAAUUCGAACGAAAAUGAGGUGUUAGAUAAUAAAGAUACGGACGAAAAAGUUACCGAAGCGCCCAAGUUGAAAAUUUUCAGAAAACGUAAAUCUCCUUCCCCGUUACCAGCACUGCCGAGUAAAGUUCUGGUGGUAUCAUCGGACUCAUUAGAGACGUUGAACCACGCUGUUACAGAUAAAACUACGUUCGAGAAUGAUGUUCAAGAGCCGCAGGCAACCACUCAUUAUCAAAAUGUUAAAUUAAUUCCAUUAACCGUCGAGAUCUCAGGUUCUAAGGAGAGCGAAACGUCGGGAAGCACAGUCGGUCGACCCUUAGUUCCAAUAAACAAACAUACUAGUACAAUAAUUCCCGCAAUGUGCACAAGCAACGCCAACAAGCCUAAGACGAUAGUAAGCUUCGCGCAGAAUAAACUUAGUACAAAUGUGACGCCGAUUACGUCAAAUGACGGUGCGUCAAACACGACGUUAAACAAGUUGCAGGUAGAAAAUGCAGACGCACGAUCUCAGGAUAACGCAAGUGAUAUGCAGAAAACUCAGAAAUCUGAGACAAGCUCAAGUCUGUCUUGCAUAAAGCGAGUGCCACCGGUCAUACACACCAAUACAAAUACAAAGCCCAUAAUGUCUAAAUCAGUUAUAUCGAGCAAUACACAUCGAAUUAUGGCUGUGCAUCCAGGCACUACAGUGUCGAGCGGCCCAGGGCCACCUCAAGUUAAGCAAGCUACUCCAUUAUUAACUUAUAAAAAGUGGUCAUCUGAACAAAAUGCGACUUUCAGUCCGCAGUCUACUGCCAAAAUGAGUGUCACGAUAAAUUCUACAAAAGCUGUAAAUAUACCUCAUCAUUCUAACACUAAAUUAACUGCUAAAACUAAUGUGAUCGUUAUCCAGAAGGGUCAUGCAAAGGGUGUAACAUUAUCGCAUGCAGGCAAGGAGGUAUUAGGAAAAGUAAUAAUGGGAGGGAAAAAUCUAUGUGUUGCAAGCCAACAUAAUGCAAGCUCGGUUAGUGUUUCACCACAUCACGUCUCUGUGAACGGAGAUCAAACAACGACCACGCUACCGAUCGCACACCCACCGAAUGCAGAAUCCGUGAAAACGAAUAUAAAGUCUGGAAACACGAUUGUGUUCAAUCUGCGGAAGGACGUCUUCGAGAAGAAAAAGAUUCUCUCACAAUGCCUCGACUCGUCCGGCGUUCUUAAUACGGAACCUAAGACUGUGAUACAAAGCAGAUAUACGCGCCUUCUAACGGAAGAAUCCAAUAGUGACGCAAAUGCGAUCGACAGGGAAUCGUCUCCUAAGACGGACUCUAUCAUCAUUUCUACGACGGAGAGAAAACAGUAUAGGAUGAAGAUGUUAACGUAAGCGUGAAUUCUGAAGUAAUAAAUUCGCUAGAUACCGCGGAAGUGCCGCAAGUUGAGGAAAUACUUGUCAAAUCGACACAACUUGUCAAUAAACAAGAUGAUGCUGAAAACGAUAGUCGGACACAAAAAUCCAGUAAGGACAUGGACAUGUUCGAUGCGAUGUUAGAAUCGACGAGUGCGAAUUUGGAGAGUUUCCAACACCUGGAGACGGAAACCAUAAACCACGUGGACGAGCACGACGACUCGUAACGACUAAGAGGUGUCGACGUUACGUACGUCGUAAAUCGUCGUCGUACGGCGACAAGGCUGAUACUUUCGUCUCGAAAGCGUACUGAUACAUCUAUUUUACGUAAAUAUAAAUAUAAAUGCGUACGUUUCUAUUUAUAUAUGUUUAUUUUAACGAAGUUUACACACAUACACACACGCCUACGUUUGCUCCUUGGAACACUCGAUAAUUUCAAAAGAAAUCGAAAUGACUUCGCGAUCCUGAUGUCUCAGUUAUUAUUUCCUAGCGUAGCACGAACGAGGCGAUUUGAUCAUUUGUAAAAAUGAGGUUUCGACACCAAAAUUCAAUCAUACUGAUUGACGCUAGUACUAUGUAAGUGCCAAAUCGUGAUCUGCCGUUCUUAUAUAAAUUAUAUUCUCGUGAAAAGAGGAAUAACCAUGACACGCACGGCGCGCAUUCACUCAUUAAUUUUUUUUUUUUCGUGAUAUCAACUCGCCACGCAAAUUACUGAUCGUUCCUAAGUCAACCUUUUUGAUUCUACUUUAUCGUGACUUUCCUUCCUAUUAGUUUAAAAGAGAACUGCGAGUUGGAAUUAUAUCGAGAUGCAUUUAGUGCUAAAUAUAUGACACUGUCCCAUUGCCAAUUUACAUUUUGAAUGUUUCUCGUAUAUUUCGCGGACAAAUAGCAGGCAGCUUCUAUUCAGCAUUUCGCGUAGCUUUCCGAUUCCGAGAUUUGUCUUUUAAUUACAUAUCAAAUCAGGAGUCUCACAGCUACGUGUAACGUUAUAGAACGCGACGCGAGCAAAGAUAUUUCAUACGUUGCACAGCGAGAGAAGAAAUAACCGGACGUGUCUUACGCACAUUCAAAAAUUGUUUCGUAUUUUACCCAUGAAUAACGUAACAUUUGAAGAUGUGUAAGACUAAACGUUUCUGUAAAUGUGAUAUUAUGGUGUUAAGUACUAGAAUUUUGGUUCUAUGAAUCUGUCACUUGCUCAUACUUAUUAACUGUCGUAGCGGCAUUGUAAAUACUUUGUAAAUACACUGAAGAACUUGGGCUACUGUGAGAAUGUACGUUUUAGAGUGGAUGUAGGUGAAUCUGCAUAGAUGCAUGUGAUCAUAUGUGAUCAUGUAAAUCAUGUAUAUGUGUAUAUGUAUAUACACACCAUAGAUACACAUAUACAUAUAUACAUAUAUAUUGCAAUACCUUCCCACUCUAUCGCCAUUAAUGAAGUGUAAGUGUCAAUAGAGACUCGACGAUAGUUUUAGUUAUUUUAUCGUUGUAGGUACUGUGCGCGUUUCUUGCUCUCUUUUUAAAUAAAACUUGCUCGUAUAGAGCGAGAGCCAGCAAUCUGUUCUUCAUUAAAGAGCAUAAUUAGAUUUAACAGGAAAAGAAUAUAUUUUUUCAUAAGCGAGAAGUGACACUGCCCUUCGAUUCGCAAUAUUGCGGUGCUCUGUUACUCAGAUUUUUUACUGUAAUCGUGUGUCUACAGGAUUUUCGCCUAAAUCGCUGUAAUUUGUAUGCAGCUAUUACGUGCGAUCGUGGUUUUCACCUCAAUAAAUCAGCUGGAUCAUUGAUCAUCUGUUAAACCGAAUAUAUUAAAUAUAUUGUAUCGAUCGUCUUGAAUAUACCAUACCUUCCAUCUGUGAAA
rnacentral:misc_RNA from 1 species